rnacentral:rRNA from 1 species
CCUAUUGAAGAAUGAGCCAACGAGUUUAUGUGUGUUGCAAGUCUAAGUCCGAUACAAUCGGAUGGAGGCAUAGCGAAAGCGAGUGUGAACAGCGCGAAGACGCAUCUCACUAAGGCGAGAUGCUCAAAAUGCAAAAUGCAAAUAUCAAAAUGCAAAAUGACAAUGCAAAAUGUUUAAAUUUUAACGAAUUAAAACAUUUUAUAACUUUAAUCUGUCAUUUUAAUCUUUGAUUUUUCAAUUUUACAUUAGCGAGCACCGAACUUUAGUGAGGUGCGUCUAUGCAGUAUGCGUAAGACCCGAAGCCAAGCGAGCUUGCCCUGGCCAGGAUGAACUCCGGAGAAAUCCGGAAAGAGGUCCGAACUGGUGGGUUGUGCAAAACCCUCGGAUGAGCUGGGGUAAGAAGUGAAAAGCUAAUCGAGCUUGGUAAUAGCUGGUUCUCUCCGAAAUAUAUUUUCGUAUAGCGUCGAAUGUUUCCUAUUGGGGGUAGAGCACUGGAUGGUUUUGACAGGGCGAAAGCCCGCAAGACCAAUCAAACUCCGAAUACCGAUAGGUAAAAGUUCGGCAGUUAGACUGUGGGGGCUAAGCUCCAUAGUCGCGAGGGAAAAAGCCCAGAUCGUCGUCUAAGGUCCCUAAAUUCCUGCUAAGUGUAAAAGGUAGUCGUUUGCCUUUGACAGAUAGGAGGUUGGCUUAGAGGUAGCCAUCCUUUAAAGAGUGUGUAACAACUCACUAUUCAACGGCCGGCGGCGCCAAAAAUGUACCGGGGCUAAGCAGNNNNNNNNNNNNNNNNNNNNNNNNNNNNNNNNNNNNNNNNNNNNUCAAAAUGGAAAAUGACAAUGUAAAGUGUUAAAAUUUUAACGAAUUAAAACAUUUUAUAACUUUAAUCUGUCAUUUUAACCUUUGAUUUUUCAAUUUUGCAUUUUUAGCACAUCACUUUAGUGAGGUGCGUGUAGUGGUAGGAGAGCAUUCCCAUCUGCAGCGAAGGUUGACCCGCGAGGGCAACUGGAGCGUUGGGAAGAGAGAAUGUUGGUAUGAGUAACCCCAANNNNNNNNNNNNNNNNNNNNNNAAGCCGCAGCUAAUGGACAGCUGGUCAAUAUUCCAGCCCUCCCGCUUUUUUCGAUGGGGUGACGAAGAAUAUAAGGUUUAGCGCCUUAAUGGUUUGGCGUUCUUGGCCGAAGAGCAGUUCUAUAGGCAAAUCCGUAGGACUCGCUUUAAUGCGAAUGUUCGAGGCAGAGAAAAGGUUCGGUUUUUACCGGGCCGAUUAAGUUGAAGAGUCUUCCUAGAAAACCCUCUAAGAUUAGAAAAGAUGGGACCCGUACCGUAAACCGACACAGGUGGAUAGGGCGAGAAGCCCAAGGGGAACGAGUGAUUCAUCCUUAAGGAACUCGGCAAAAAAGCGGCCGUACCUUCGGUAUAAGGCCUCCCAGUACUACAACUUUAUUCGCAAUAUUUAUUUUGAAAAUGUUAAAUUUUCUUUUAUAGAUUUAUUUUUCAUCAUAGUAUUGUUAGUAAAGUUGUAGUACUGGGCGCAGCGAAAGUCUCUCUGGCGACUGUUUACCAAAAACACAGCUCCCUGCUAACUCGCAAGAGGAUGUAUAGGGGGUGAAGCCUGACCGAUGCGAGAAGGUCAAGCUUGGAGGUCUGCGCAUCUCACUAAGGCGAGACGCUUAAAAUGUAAAGUUAAAAAAUCAAAAAUCAAAAUGACAAAUCAAAAUUACAAAAUGUUUUAAAUCUUUAACAUUUUACAUUGUCAUUUUGCACUUUGAUAUUUACAUUUUGCAUUUUUAGCAGCUCACUUUAGUGAGGUGCGUUGGCUUACCGAGUUAAGCCCUCGUCAAUGUCAGCGGUAACUAUAACCGUUCUAAGGUAGCGCAAUUCCUUUUCGGGUAAGUUCCGAAGCGCACGAAUGGCGUAACGACUGGAGAACUGUCUCAAGGAUGAGCUCGGUGAAAAUGCGAUUCCCGUGAAGACGCGGGAUACCUGCAGCGGGACGAAAAGACCCCGGGAGCUUUACUGUAGCUUGGUAUUGGCUUUAGGGCUUGGAUGCGUAGUGUAGUGGGCAGCCUUUGAAACUCCGAUUUUGGUUGGGGUGGAGGCAACAAUGAAACACCCAUCUUUCAAGUUUUAAAAUCUAACCUUAAGGGCAAAAACCUUAAGAGACAGUGCCUGGUGGGCAGUUUUAAUGGGGCGUUAUCCUCCUAAAGAGUAACGGAGGAGUUUAUUAAGGUCGGCUUAGCGCGGAUGGAAAUCGCGCCGGACGUGUAAAGGCAAAAGCCGGCUUAACUGCAAGACAUACAAGUCAAGCAGAUGCGAAAGCAGAACUUAGCGACCCGACGGUUAUGCCGAGUAUAUAAUUUAUUAUGUGCUUGACUCUUUGUAGAAAGGCCGGAGACAACGGAUAAAAGUUACCCCGGGGAUAACAGGCUGGUGUGGUCCGAGAGUCCCUAUCGACGACCACGCUCGGCACCUCGAUGUCGGCUCGCCCUAGCGCGGGGCUGAAGAAGGUCCCAAGCGUAUGGCUGUUCGCCAUUUAAAAGGGCACGCGAGCUGGGUUCAAACCGUUAGUCCGAAAGGACUUGGCGGCUAUGCGGAGCAAUCCGCAUUAGCAAAACUGACUCAUAUCGGUGAAGUCCUAACAUUGAAAUUAACCUGUCAUAUGUUAGGAUAAUACCGAGGGAAGUUUUGUAUGAUUAAUCAAAUUAAAACCGCAUAUAUCGCAGGAUUUCUUGAUGGCGAUGGAAGUAUUUAUGUAAGAUUGAAGCCGAAUUCCACAUAUAAAUAUGGAUUUCAGGUUGCGCCUUACGUAGUUUUGUUCCAAUCGCAAAAAGAUCAGAAAAAUUUUGAGAAAGUUUGUUCGCUGAUUGGCUUAGGAUAUUUGAGAAUUCGCAAAGACGGGAUACUCGAAUAUAUUAUCAGUCGAAAUGAGGCGAUUAGAUGUUUUCUUAAAAUGGUAAAACCUUUUUUGAUACUCAAAAAAGAGCAAGCUGAUUUAAUGAUAGAGAUCUUGGAUAAAAAAGAACGCGUGAAAGACAGAAAUGACUUUCAGGUGCUUGCAAAUUUGAUCGAUCGUUUUAGAGAGUUGAAUUACUCAAAAAAGCGCAAAAAACAUACAAUAACCCCGUAGAGACUUUUCUGAAUUGCUGGUUUAGCAAAACAGAAGGAGUUCGCAAUUUAUGCGUACUAAAACGUCAGUACUCCAAAUAAAUUUUUGGAGUGUGGUAUAGUCCAUACCGUUAGUAAUAACGGACGAUUUAAUUCUAGUUUCUAUUUUCUAGAUUCUAGUUUCUAAAUUUAUGCGUGAGACAGGUUGGUCUCUAUCUGCUGCAGGCGUUUAGCACUUGAGGGAAGUCGACCCUAGUACGAGAGGACCGGGUUGAACGAACCUCUGGUCUACCGGCUUUGGUACCAACUGAAGCGCCGGGUAGCUAUGUUCGGAAAGGAUAAGCGCUGAAAGCAUAUAAGCGCGAAGCCUCUCCCAAGACUAUGUGCAGGGCCCUGGAAGAUUACCAGGUUGAUAGGCUUUAGGUGUAAGGUCAGCAAUGAUUUUAGCCGAGAAGUACUAAUAGCCCGACUAAAACUU